AUGCGAUAAGUAGUGUGAAUUGCAGAAUUCAGUGAAUCAUCGAAUCUUUGAACGCACAUUGCGCCCCUUGGUAUUCCAUGGGGCAUGCCUGUUCGAGCGUCAUUGGUACCUUCAAGCUCUGCUUGGUGUUGGGUGUUUGUCUCGCCUCUGCGCGUAGACUCGCCUCAAAACAAUUGGCAGCCGGCGUAUUGAUUUCGGAGCGCAGUACAUCUCGCGCUUUGCAUUCAGAACGACGACGUCCAAAAGUACAUUUUUACACUCUUGACCUCGGAUCAGGUAGGGAUACCCGCUGAACUUAA
rnacentral:misc_RNA from 1 species